CGGGCGGCUGCAGCAAGGAAUCUUGUGCAAUGGGCGAAAGCCUGACACAGCGACGCCGCGUGGGGGAAGAAGGCUUUCGGGUUGUAAACCCCUUUUCUCAGGGAAGAAUAAUGACGGUACCUGAGGAAUAAGCCUCGGCUAACUACGUGCCAGCAGCCGCGGUAAUACGUAGGAGGCGAGCGUUAUCCGGAUUUACUGGGCGUAAAGAGGGCGCAGGCGGUCCUUCAAGUCGGAUGUAAAAUCUCCCGGCUUAACUGGGAGGGACCAUUCGAUACUGAUGGACUAGAGGGCAGCAGAGGGAGGUGGAAUUCCCGGUGUAGUGGUGAAAUGCGUAGAUAUCGGGAGGAACACCAGUGGCGAAGGCGGCCUCCUGGGCUGUUGCUGACGCUGAGGCCCGAAAGCGUGGGGAGCGAACAGGAUUAGAUACCCGAGUAGUC
rnacentral:rRNA from 1 species